CACAUGCACAGGGACACUUCAACCUCCAAGAACCCUGAAGGAUUUGCACUUCCCUGAACAAGACUGUUCUCAUUCGUGCAACCCUGUGUCUUUGAAGGAAAAAUGCCGUCAUCCUGGAAUGCCCUCCCUUGCUAGUCUGCUGGAACAAGCAUCCUCAUCCUUAGGGGGUCAGCCGUUCCAGAUUCCAGAUUUCUCUCUAGAGACACAGGCAUGUCUUCCCUGGAGCAACCAUUUCACUGGUAGUGACGGGGUUUCACCCUAUUAGCCAGGAUGGUCUCGAUCUCCUGACCUCGUGAUCCACCUGCCUCAGCCUCCUGAAGUGCUGGGAUUACAGGCGUGAGCCACCGCGCCCGGCUGAGAGAAAAACUUUUAUCAUCCCUGUGCGAUUGGAGCUUUGGUUUCAUGGAGGAGAGAGACAGUCAAUAAACUGGCAAACAAAGAAAUAGAGAAUAUACUUUGGCAAAUAGUGAUUAUCUUGGGCAGAGGAUUAUGGGGAAUUUCACACAUUCCAAGUCACACGUUUCUGUAAUAUUAGAAAUUUUACAAGCAUACAGUGAGCAGAGA
rnacentral:antisense_RNA from 1 species